AUUGAACGCUGGCGGCAGGCCUAACACAUGCAAGUCGAGCGGAUGAAGGGAGCUUGCUCCUGGAUUCAGCGGCGGACGGGUGAGUAAUGCCUAGGAAUCUGCCUGGUAGUGGGGGAUAACGUCCGGAAACGGGCGCUAAUACCGCAUACGUCCUGAGGGAGAAAGUGGGGGAUCUUCGGACCUCACGCUAUCAGAUGAGCCUAGGUCGGAUUAGCUAGUUGGUGGGGUAAAGGCCUACCAAGGCGACGAUCCGUAACUGGUCUGAGAGGAUGAUCAGUCACACUGGAACUGAGAGACGGUCCAGAAUCCUACGGGAGGCAGCGUGGGGGAAUAUUGGAGAAUGGGCGAAAGCCUGAUCCAGCCAUGCCGCGUGUGGGAAGAAGGUCUUCGGAUUGUAAAGCACUUUAAGUUGGGAGGAAGGGCAGUAAGUUAAUACCUUGCUGUUUUGACGUUACCAACAGAAUAAGCACCGGCUAACUUCG
rnacentral:rRNA from 1 species